UUUGGCUGCUCAUUCUCAUUGCUCAUGUGUGUGUAUGCCUGGUGGUGUAUGGCAGUGGAUGAUGAAUGUGAGAUUUUCUGUUGUAAUAGCUCUACUCUAGCAUUUCUCCAUCCUCUAGGCCAAGGUAACUAUGUGGUUUGAAAGAGAGCCAACAAAAGUCUGCAUCAGGAAUCCUGGAGUUUGUGCUGUCUCUGCCAUUCAUUCACUGCCCUUACAACCUUGGGCCCAGUUCCUUGGAUCCAUACAGAAGAGAUUAUUGAGACCUUAGAAAUAAGCUGAAGACUGAGAGGAGUUCCUGAUGCUCUCUGAUCACGGUUCUUUCCAGAUACUUGCCAGUUGAGCUGUCUUGCAAAACUUUUUAUUUCAAAGUCCAAUGGGAAUUUCUAUAAUUAUGCCCUGCCUUUUUCCAGCUUCUGCCUUUCACUUUCCUGCCCUCCUGGCCUCUCUCAAAUGGAAAUUAAUCCAGCCUCUAACAAGCUGUCAGUAAGUAAAGAUUUUACUGUGAUUAUUGCUUAGGAAAAAGAUAUUGCCUUUCUCCCCCUGCCUCCAAAUGCCUUAUUUGCAGACUAGAAAUCAUGGGGCAUGUGUCCAAUUGAUACAUUUCUCUUCAAAUAGAAGAUCCAAUGCUAAAGUGGGAUGCAAAUUUAAUUAUUCCACAUGUACAGAACAGAAACAGAAUCUCAUUGUUAAAUUUGUUCUCCUAUGUUGGAAAGAUUAAAAACAAAAUAUGUUGAAGUGGUUUGUGUGAGCGGAAUAUAUUUCAGCUCAUAAAAAUGUGAGGCAGUGAAAUAAGGGCACCAGAGGACUUACUUCUACCACACAGAAUUGUCAUUAUUUAAAAAUGUUUCUUCUCAGAAAUCUUUUUUUUCCUCACCUGUGUACUUCCAACAUUUCUAUAAUCUUCUCUGUGAUGAUUUCUCUAAAUAAUCCCCUUCAAACACUUUGUCUUCCAGCCAUGCCCAUAUAAUAUAAUAUGGAAUAAAAUGGUGA
rnacentral:lncRNA from 1 species